rnacentral:rRNA from 1 species
UACAGAGGUCUCAAGCGUUGUUCGGAUUCAUUGGGCGUAAAGGGUGCGUAGGCGGCGGGGCAAGUCUGGUGUGAAAUCCCGGGGCUCAACCUCGGAACUGCACUGGAUACUGCCCUGCUAGAGAUCUGGAGAGGAAACUGGAAUUUACGGUGUAGCAGUGAAAUGCGUAGAGAUCGUAAGGAAGACCAGUGGCGAAGGCGAGUUUCUGGACAGAUUCUGACGCUGAGGCACGAAGGCCAGGGGAGCAAACGGG